CCUAUGGGUGGCAGCAGUGGGGGAUAUUGCACAAUGGGGGAAACCCUGAUGCAGCGACGCCGCGUGAGUGAAGAAGUAUCUCGGUAUGUAAAGCUCUAUUUGCAGGGAAGAAAAUGACAGUACCUGACCAAGUAGCUACGUCUAACUAGGUGCCAGCAGCCGCGGUAAUGCGGAGGGGGCGAGCGUUAUCCGGAUUUACUGGGUGUAAAGGGAGCGUAGUCGGUUAGGUAAGUCAGGAGUGAAAGUGCGGGGCCCAACCCCGGGACUGCAUUGGAAACUGUGUAACUGGAGUACAGAAGAGGCAGGCGGAAUUCCUGGUGUAGCGGUGAAAUGCGUAGAUAUCACGAGGAACACCGACGGCGAAGGCAGCCUGCUGGACUGAAACUGACGUUGAGGCUCGAAAGUGUGGGGAGCAAACAGGAUUAGAUACCCUUGUAGUC
rnacentral:rRNA from 1 species